rnacentral:tRNA from 2 species
GCUGAUGUAGCUUAGUGGGUAGAGCAAUCGCCUUAUAAGCGAUGCGGUACGGAUCAGCUUCGCUGCGCGUAGGCAGGUUCGAGUCCUGUCAUUAGCU